rnacentral:rRNA from 1 species
UAAGACGAAGGAUGCAAGCGUUAUCCGGAUUCAUUGGGUUUAAAGGGUGCGUAGGCGGACUGAUAAGUCAGUGGUGAAAUCUCUCAGCUUAACUGAGAAACUGCCAUUGAUACUGUCGGUCUAGAGUAUAGAUGACGUUGGCGGAAUAUGACAUGUAGUGGUGAAAUACUUAGAUAUGUCAUAGAACACCGAUUGCGAAGGCAGCUAACGAAACUAUAACUGACGCUGAGGCACGAAAGUGCGGGGAUCAAACAGG